rnacentral:rRNA from 1 species
GUGUCAGCCGCCGCGGUAAGACGUAGGGGGCGAGCGUUGUCCGGAAUCAUUGGGCGUAAAGAGCGCGCAGGCGGCUUGGUAAGUCGGACGUGAAAACCCGAGGCUCAACCUCGGGCGUGCAUCCGAUACUGCCCGGCUAGAGGUAGGUAGGGGAGAUCGGAAUUCCUGGUGUAGCGGUGAAAUGCGCAGAUAUCAGGAGGAACACCGGUGGCGAAGGCGGAUCUCUGGGCCUUACCUGACGCUCAGGCGCGAAAGCUAGGGGAGCGAACAGGAUUAGAUACCCUUGUAGUCC